rnacentral:lncRNA from 1 species
AACAAACACGCACCAGAAAUAAGGAUCAACACAGAUUCUCUAUUUGUAUGAAUGUCAUCGAGAUUGCUCCUAAUAAAAUGUCAAAAGCCUAAGUCAUUUUUUUGUGUGUUCUGUCCACCCAUUUUAGUACUUGCAAAGCUUGAAAUUUGAAGUAGAAAAUUUAAGAAGGAUGAACAAUGAAAUUGAUCAAAUGAUUAGAAUUUCUUAGACACUUGAAGAAGAGUGAUUUGCUUCAUAAGAGUAUUGACGGGAGCAAAUUUUUUUGUUAAAUUAAUUAAGCAAAAAUAUCUUAAAAGGGAGUACGAAGCUGAAAUUCACACGCUAAUGACUACCAUGGAAAUUGCAAUGGAGAGAAGAGUAAAGCGGAAGGUGUGAGAGUCAAUAUGAAUUGGGAUAUUUCCUUCUUUUUUUUUGACAUAAAAUUCGUGCUACACGUGUACAGAAAGCAGUACACAUUACACAAUUAAGAAAAAGUAAAAGUACACAUUACACACAUUAACCCUUGGUAACUUCUGAUCCAUAAAUUACUGAACAACAAGGCAUCUAAAGAUAUCCUACCGUCUCCAGCUUUGCAACAUUGACCAACAGAGACUCGUUGCUGAAGGGGCAGUCUCUUCUCUCCAGAUUACAAAG